rnacentral:rRNA from 1 species
GACGAACGCUGGCGGCGUGCCUAAUACAUGCAAGUCGAGCGGGGCUGUUUGCUGGAAGCCUUCGGGCGGAAAGCUUGCAGCCUAGCGGCGGACGGGUGAGUAACGCGUGGGUAACCUGUCCUGAAGUACGGGAUAACAGUUCGAAAGGGCUGCUAAUACCGUAUGUGGUCAAGGGGAGUUCGCUUUCUUUGACUAAAGGUGAAAACCGCUUCAGGGUGGGCCCGCGUCCCAUUAGCUAGUUGGUAGGGUAAUGGCCUACCAAGGCGACGAUGGGUAGCCGGCCUGAGAGGGUGACCGGCCACACUGGGACUGAGACACGGCCCAGACUCCUACGGGAGGCAGCAGUAGGGAAUCUUGCGCAAUGGGGGAAACCCUGACGCAGCGACGCCGCGUGAGUGAAGAAGGCCUGGGUCGUAAAGCGUCUGUCCUCCGGGAACGAUAAUGACGGUACCGGAGGAGGAAGCCCCGGCUAACGUACGUG